UACGGAAGGUCCAGGCGUUAUCCGGAUUUAUUGGGUUUAAAGGGAGUGUAGGCGGUUGGUUAAGCGUGUUGUGAAAUGUAGAUGCUCAACAUCUGACUUGCAGCGCGAACUGGCUGACUUGAGUACACACAACGUAGGCGGAAUUCAUGGUGUAGCGGUGAAAUGCUUAGAUAUCAUGAAGAACUCCGAUUGCGAAGGCAGCUUACGGGAGUGUUACUGACGCUUAAGCUCGAAGGUGCGGGUAUCGAACAGG
rnacentral:rRNA from 1 species